rnacentral:lncRNA from 1 species
GUCCUUCUGUUGCAUCUCUGUCGACAUUACAGCAUCUGUGCUGUUACGUGACACUUUCUAAGGCUUCUAUUGGCUCUCUAAAGCGUUCAGAAAGCGGAAUGACAUGUCUCAUGUCUCUGGGCAAAGUACAGCAGCAGAGUUUGUAAGUGGCCUGACUUCUCCAUUUUUUUCUUUCAGUCUUUGAAUGAAUACAACGUUGUCCAGUUGGAAUAUUAUCGCUAUUUUACGAGAAAAAUAGCAUAAAAAAUUAAUUUUAAACAGCGUUUGACAUGCUUCUAAGUACAGUAAUGGAAUAUUUUGCAUUUUUUUGUCACGAAAUGCGCUUCGGAUAGUGACCUGAACGCACGAACAAAACGGAGGUAUUUGGAUAUAACUAUGGAUUAUUUGGAACCAAAACAACAUUUGUUGUUGAAGUAGAAGUCCUGGGAGUGCAUUCUGACGAAGAACAGCAAAGAUAGAGGAUUUUGCAAUAAAUGUCCGUUGACAACUCUGCUCGGGGGGCUUCAGCGAUGCAUGGAUUUCACCCCCAGGAUUGCAGGUUUCUCUACGAGUGGACCUUUUGAACCAGCACCUACAGCUCCGCCAGUGCCUGAGUCUUUGUCUGCUGUUCAGACUCCUCCAUGGAGGAAGGCAUUGAAGUUGUCGAUGUUAAAUAUGACAUGUUUUAUCACAUUAUUUUUCCUCAACUACUAUGGUUCUGGAAGCCAUGAUAGAACACUGAUUCACAGCCCUGCUAAGGACAUCUGUGAAGACCACCUCACCUUUCUCCCGGCCCCUCUCCAGCCCUGCUAAGGACCUCUGUGAAGACCACCUCACCUUUCUCCCGGCCCCUCUCCAGCCCUGCUAAGGACCUCUGUGAAGACCACCUCACCUUUCUCCCGGACCCUCUCCAGCCCUGCUAAGGACCUCUGUGAAGACCACCUCACCUUUCUCCCGGACCCUCUCCAGCCCUGCUAAGUACCACCUCCCCUUUCUCCCGGCCCCUCUCCAGCCCUGCUAAGGACCUCUGUGAAAACCACCUCACCUUUCUCCCGGACCCCUCUGCUACAGCCUAUAUGAAGACCACCACUGCCUCUGCUGUCUCUCAGGGCACCGCCAGCUCUGCUAGAGUCUCUGUAAAUGCUCUCCUCUGCUAUAGCCUCGAAGAGGAGCCUCAGUAAAUAACAUUUUGUCAUUUCUUAACUUAUAUCAUUA